AAGGUUAAUUCCGGUGGCGGAUGGGCAUGCGUCGCAUUAGUUAGUUGGCGGUGUAACGGACCACCAAGACGACGGUGCGUAGGGGUUCUGAGAGGAAGGUCCCCCACACUGGUACUGAGACACGGACCAGACUCCUACGGGAGGCAGCAGUGAGGAAUAUUGGUCAAUGGGCGGGAGCCUGAACCAGCCAAGUCGCGUGAGGGAUGACGGCCCUAUGGGUUGUAAACCUCUUUUGCCGGGGAGCAAAGUGCCGCACGUGUGCGGUUUGGAGAGUACCCGGAGAAAAAGCAUCGGCUAACUCCGUGCCAGCAGCCGCGGUAAUACGGAGGAUGCGAGCGUUAUCCGGAUUUAUUGGGUUUAAAGGGUGCGUAGGCGGACGCUUAAGUCAGCGGUAAAAUUGCGGGGCUCAACCUCGUCGAGCCGUUGAAACUGGGUGCCUUGAGUGGGCGAGAAGUACGCGGAAUGCGUGGUGUAGCGGUGAAAUGCAUAGAUAUCACGCAGAACUCCGAUUGCGAAGGCAGCGUACCGGCGCCCAACUGACGCUGAAGCACGAAGGCGUGGGUAUCGAACAGGAUUAGAUACCCUGGUAGUCCACGCAGUAAACGAUGAAUGCUAGUUGUCCGGGGCGAUUGAGUUCUGG
rnacentral:rRNA from 1 species